UUCGAUGCGGAAGAGCAAAGCCUGAGGGCGGGUGGAACGGCAUGAUGUUGUUGGCCACUCAUGACUGCGCCGCGAAGAGCUUGGCAAGGGCCAGAACGUCGCCGUUUUCGACAGUGAUGGUUGCAGCGAUGUUGGUACCUGCGAAGGCGUGGAUGAUGUUGGGCCUGGCGUCAGAGAUCUUGACGCGGUCGAUGGCGUCAGAGAUCAGAGCAGAGAUCUUGAUGCACGUGAUUAGUGAUUUGGGGUUUUGAGAUUGACUUGGUUGGGCCCAUUUCGGUUGGUAACUCCGGAAAACUGAUCCACGACAGCAACAUGGAGCCGAGAAAUGCACUGCAGCGGCUCCAACUCCAGAAAAUCUGAGAGGGAGAGAUCGAGACCCUGUGAAGUGAUUACUGGGAAAACCAAGAACCUGCAACGUGAUGUUCUGAUGAAGAGUUUUUUUAUUUUUAUUUUUUUGGCAGUUAAGAUUGGGCUUAUGGGCCUGGGCAUGAUGACGAGCUCGUGUGUUGAUUCAUUGUUUUGCAGAUUGUGGGCUUGUGUUUUUGGCAGUUAGGAUUUAGCACUGUGAAUUCUUCUGCUGCUGGACCAUGUACACGGAGUAGUUGACAGGAGGUUCUGGUUCUUGCAAAUUCACAGUGGAUGUGAAAAAAUGAAAGAGAACCAACACAACUUUUCGUAUCGAUUCCCACAGACGGCGCCAAAUGUUGAUGCACAAAACCGGAUGGUCUUGGAACAACGUAAAUCCGACCGUGAAUCU
rnacentral:lncRNA from 1 species